rnacentral:lncRNA from 1 species
CUGUCACUGAAUUUGAAAUUCGGAUAGUCCGAUACCAAAGCACAGUGAGUUGCUUGCAAGUCACUGAGGCAGCCUCAGGUCCAAGAGACAUAUAUACCCAUAUCCCAUCAGAGCAGCCCUUGACAGCAGAGUGCUCCAAAAGUAAUCAAGUUUAGUGAAAUGUACUCCUACAUAUCACUCGUAUGCCAUAUCCAUGUCAC